CAAAAUCCAAUCUGCUUCUUUAUCAACGAAGUAAUGUUACACUACCAUAAAUCUGAGAAAAAAUCAAAAUUUCUCAUCAAAACUAAAAAUGAAAAAUUGAGAGAGCACCCUGUAACCCUUAGGUACUCAAAAGUCCAGAAUAAUUGGUAAUGCUAAUACUAGGCACUAAUCGUCUAGUGUUAUCAGUGGAAAGUUUUACACGAUAAGUUUCGAUUUGGUUCUCGUCAUACUCCUUCCCCCUUGACCCGAUUGCCCAACAUAAAAGAAUUUACCAAAUGAAAAACGCAAUGAUGAUUCUCAUAUGAUGGCGAGUUCUUUGAACAAAAUUUAUAUGAUCAGGUGCAGAAUAUCACGUGGGUCGUCGUUCAGCAGCGAGCAUCUGACCAAUGAUGUUUGACACCUGAAAAGAAAGUAAAAACUCACUCGGAUUUUGAUAACAGGAUUAUGAUAACUGUAGGCGUACCAAAGCUAUCUACAUUUCAGUAUAAAAUUUACCAUAAGACGAUCUGAAACAUAGUUAGAACAACUAAACCAGUAUGACGGUUUAAAGAAAAGGAAACUGAUAACAAGGUAUACCGCAGGUGUAUUCAAACUCACAAGCCUCAUUAAUGAUAGUUUAAAGGAAAAAAACUGAUAACAAGGUAUACUGCGUUCUAACUCAAUGGCCUCGUUAAUGUUGCAUAAUGUUUGAGAAGCAUGCAUGUAUGGCAUGAAUUGCAACAAGUUGAAGUGAAGUGAAAUAACACCGAAAAUCCAUAGGAGCAACACUGAUUAAAUUGCUUGGACAAUUAUUCUGCAUCCAAUUACACGACAUUAUUCAAGUACUAACAAGUAACGGUAUCUUUCAGGCUUCAUACUUAAAAACUAUGUAAAUUGGUACAAGCAUGGGCAAAAGGAACAACUUCAUAAAAGAAUACUAAAGCUAUAGGCAAAACAUGAUCAUUUGAAGCGGCAAAUUACUAGAGUUGCAAAAAGGGCCAGAAUCAGACCACAAAUGGCUUCCUUCUUCAAAUUUGAUGCCCUCUUUUCCAAUAGCAACUGCUUCUUUAAUAUUCCUAGAUAGAGCCGGAGGUGCCUGGAGGCUUGAGAGAUGUCAUGGAUAAAGUGAUGAGAUGCAUGAAAUGAGGUGAUCUCAAAACUAAGAAGAAACUGGGAGCAAUUAAUAAGGAAAUCAAGGAGACUGAAGAAAAAAUUGAAAGUUGGGGAACACACCUACUAUGCAAAAAAACAAAAGAGUGUAAGCAUAUGAGACACCCCUUUUUUGCUUACGAUAUUUUCUACAGUAGACAGAUAUGAGACCUGGUAGAGCAUAAGAACAUGAGACACUGGUUAUUUGCUUAUAAUCUCUUCUACAGUAGAUAGUUAUGAGAACCAUCACUCGCUAAAGUAAAUUGAAUGUUUGCCUCAUUUGAUUUUUUUUCUUAAAAAAAUAAUGAAAUCAACUAAAGAAAAUGGAAUGAGACAAUGAAAUUUCCACACAUGCUAAAACAUGAUUUUCCUAUUUAUUUUCAAUACUUUUAGAAAAGUUGCAAAAUCAAGUAAAAAGAGAAUUAGUCAAUAAAACAUAAAAACUUGUUAAAAUUUUAAAUUCCAUGUUUCCCUAAUUUCCUUUCCAAGGGAACCAUGAGUGUCGUGGUCAGCAAGGACACCAUGGCCUCCAUUGUAAACAAUGGCCCCAUAGGCACCAGGGGAUCUAUGGACUACAUGAGAACUAUUUCCAACAUGGGCAGCACGAGCAUCAAAGUCAUGCCAUGGACCCCCACACCAAGCCACCAUAUGCACCGAACACUGGUGCGCUAUGUUCUAUGCACUCACGCACUACAAUUACAACAUACAACUGCGAUGAAUGCCGCCUGCCACAUAAAAAAUCGCACGUGCUUGAGUUUGCAAUAUACACACACCCACUGCACAAAAUCAAAAGGAGCAUAAGCAUAUGAGACACUGCUUGCUUACUUACAACCUCUUCCAUAUUAGAGAAUGGUAUGACAAUGCUUACAAAUUUAUUUGCAUAUAAAGUGCUGAAAUAUUCCAAAAAAGGGCAAAAUCCAAUCUGCUUCUUUAUCAACGAAGUAAUGUUACACUACCAUAAAUCUGAGAAAAAAUCAAAAUUUCUCAUCAAAACUAAAAAUGAAAAAUUGAGAGAGCACCCUGUAACCCUUAGGUACUCAAAAGUCCAGAAUAAUUGGUAAUGCUAAUACUAGGCACUAAUCGUCUAGUGUUAUCAGUGGAAAGUUUUACACGAUAAGUUUCGAUUUGGUUCUCGUCAUACUCCUUCCCCCUUGACCCGAUUGCCCA
rnacentral:lncRNA from 1 species